rnacentral:tmRNA from 1 species
GGGGCUGAUCGGUUUCGACGUCGGGACCAGGAUGCCGAGAUGUGCGACCGGAGUUGCUCAGACUCCUUAAACGGGGCACCACAAGAGACGCCAACACGGACGAUCUCGCUCUCGCCGCCUGAUCUCGAUCAGGUGAACGAGGGUCACUGCGACCCGUGAGGGUACGCGGGGCCUGACCACCGCAGCCCGGCACCAGAAGCGGUGGUGACGGCAGGGACAGACCGCUGACGGCAGGGAAAGACCGCUGACACCGGGGAAAGACCCGGCGGCCGGGCCUCCGGGCCCACCCGACCCGGCGGGGCGGCAGCCGCGAGCCGCAGCCACGGGAAUGGUCGUAGCGCAUCCGGUGACCACCCGACGGACGAGGGUUCGAUUCCCUCCAGCUCCACGA